rnacentral:rRNA from 1 species
UACGAAGGGGGCUAGCGUUGCUCGGAAUCACUGGGCGUAAAGGGCGCGUAGGCGGCCGGCCAAGUCGGGGGUGAAAGCCUGUGGCUCAACCACAGAAUGGCCCUCGAUACUGGACGGCUCGAGACCGGAAGAGGUUGGUGGAAUUGCGAGUGUAGAGGUGAAAUUCGUAGAUAUUCGGAGGAACACCAGUGGCGAAGGCGGCUCACUGGUCCGGUACUGACGCUGAGGUGCGAAAGCGUGGGGAGCAAACAGG